rnacentral:rRNA from 1 species
AGACAGGUGGUGCAUGGUUGUCGUCAGCUCGUGUCGUGAGAUGUUGGGUUAAGUCCCGCAACGAGCGCAACCCUUGAUGUUAGUUGCCAGCAGGUGAAGCUGGGCACUCUAACGUGACUGCCGGUGACAAACCGGAGGAAGGUGGGGAUGACGUCAAAUCAUCAUGCCCCUUAUGACCUGGGCUACACACGUACUACAAUGGCCAGUACAACGGGAAGCGAAACCGCGAGGUGGAGCGAAUCCAAUCAAAGCUGGUCUCAGUUCGGAUUGCAGGCUGCAACUCGCCUGCAUGAAGUCGGAAUUGCUAGUAAUCGCGGAUCAGCAUGCCGCGGUGAAUACGUUCCCGGGUCUUGUACACACCGCCCGUCACACCACGAGAGUUUACAACACCCGAAGUCGGUGGGGUAACCCGCAAGGGAGCCAGCCGCCGAAGGUGGGGUAGAUGAUUGGGGUGAAGUCGUAACAAGGUAGCCGUAUCGGAAGGUGCGGCUGGAUCACCUCCUUUCUAAGGA